rnacentral:rRNA from 1 species
UACAGAGGGUGCAAGCGUUGUUCGGAAUUAUUGGGCGUAAAGCGCGUGUAGGCGGCUUUGCAAGUCGGGUGUGAAAGCCCUCAGCUCAACUGGGGAAGUGCCUUUGAUACUGGCGGGCUCGAGGGAGGUAGGGGUCGUGGGAACUUCCGGUGGAGCGGUGAAAUGCGUUGAUAUCGGAAGGAACGCCGGUGGCGAAAGCGAACGACUGGACCUCUUCUGACGCUGAGGCGCGAAAGCCAGGGGAGCAAACGGG